rnacentral:rRNA from 1 species
AUUGAACGCUGGCGGCAGGCCUAACACAUGCCAGUCGAGCGGAGCGGCGGACGGGUGAGUAAUGCCUAGGAAUCUGCCUGGUCGUGGUGGAUAACGUCCGGAACCGGGCGCUACUACCGCAUACUAUACGAUGCGCCUGGUGCGGAUUAGCUAGUUGGUGGGGUAAAGGCCUACCAGGGCGACGAACCGUAACGGGUCCGAGAGGAGGAUCAGUCACACUGGAACUGAGACAAGGUCCAGACUCCUAAGUGAGGCAGCAGUGGGGAAUAUUGGACAAUGGGCGAAAGCCUGAUCCAGCCAUGCCGCAUGUGUGAAGAAGGUCUUCGGAUGGUAAAGCACUUUAAGUUAGGAGGCGUUACCAGCAGAAGAAGCACCGGCUAACUUCGUGCCAGCAGCCGCGGUAAUAC